UCUCAGUUCGGAUUGGAGUCUGNAACCCGACUCCAUGAAGCUGGAUUCGCUAGUAAUCGCGCAUCAGCCACGGCGCGGUGAAUACGUUCCCGGGCCUUGUACACACCGCCCGUCAAGCCAUGGAAGCCGGGAGUGCCUGAAGUGCGUGAGCGCAAGCAGCGCCCUAAGGUAAAACCGGUGACUGGGGCUAAGUCGUAACAAGGUAUC
rnacentral:rRNA from 1 species